rnacentral:rRNA from 1 species
CGGGAAACCGGAGCUAAUACCGGAUAAUAUAUUGAACCGCAUGGUUCAAUAGUGAAAGACGGUUUGCUGUCACUUAUAGAUGGAUCCGCGCCGCAUUAGCUAGUUGGUAAGGUAACGGCUUAUCAAGGCAGCGAUGCGUAGCCGACCUGANAGGGUGAUCGGCCACACUGGAACUGAGACACGGUCCAGACUCCUACGGGAGGCAGCAGAC